rnacentral:rRNA from 1 species
CCUACGGGCGGCUGCAGCGAGGAAUCUUGGUCAAUGGGCGCAAGCCUGAACCAGCGACGCCGCGUGGAGGAUGAAGGCCCUCGGGUUGUAAACUCCUUUUGGGUGGGACGAAGAUCUGACGGUACCACCCGAAUAAGCCCCGGCUAACUACGUGCCAGCAGCCGCGGUAAUACGUAGGGGGCGAGCGUUGUCCGGAUUUACUGGGCGUAAAGCGCGCGCAGGCGGUUCGUUAAGUCCGUUGUGAAAGCUCCCGGCUCAACUGGGAGAGGUCUUCG